rnacentral:rRNA from 1 species
AGAUUGAACGCUGGCGGCAUGCCUUACACAUGCAAGUCGAACGGCAGCACGGGAGCAAUCCUGGUGGCGAGUGGCGAACGGGUGAGUAAUAUAUCGGAACGUGCCCAGUCGUGGGGGAUAACGCAGUGAAAGCUGUGCUAAUACCGCAUACGAUCUAUGGAUGAAAGCGGGGGACUCGCAAGAGCCUCGCGCGAUUGGAGCGGCCGAUAUCAGAUUAGCUAGUUGGUGGGGUAAAAGCCCACCAAGGCGACGAUCUGUAGCUGGUCUGAGAGGACGACCAGCCACACUGGAACUGAGACACGGUCCAGACUCCUACGGGAGCAGCAGUGGGGAAUUUGGACAAUGGGCGCAAGCCUGAUCCAGCAAUGCCGCGUGCAGGAUGAAAGGCC